UGUGGCCUGGCUUUCAGGAGAGUUGGGCCGUGUGGGGACAGCGGAUUUCAUUAAGGAGAGGUGGAAGGGCAGGGUGAAAGGGGUAUAUCAAACCAAGGAGGCUUCUGCAGGACUUGGUUUGAGGUGAGGGGGUUUCAGGGAGUAGCAGGCUUGAGCUCUUUGAGGGGGCAGCCAUGAGAGUGCGUGGGGCAAGGCGGAUGGCAAGAAGGAAAAGGCCACCAAACAGCUGGCCACGUGAGUGACUGUGGGACGAGGAGUCUGCUGAGGUGCAACCAUCCCUCGACCCCUCUGCACGCUAGGAGCUUGUCUUCGGUUUGGAGCCUGGAGCACGGCCCCUGCUUGGAAAGGUGGCUUGGCCAGUUCACUGGCCAAAUGUGGAACCGGAAGUCACAAUGUAGCAUUCACACCAAGAACACUGGAGACUAUUCCUCCCUCCUCAGCUGCCGACCGCCCCUGCCUGGCUGGUGAAGACCUGCCUGCUCCAGCCUUGUGGUGGGAACAGAUGUUGCUGCCAGGGCUGUGGCUCCCUGUGCCACUGUCCACGCCCAGGAGCGGGGGCUUUGCCUUGCCCUCUGCUGUGGAGGGAAAAGGGAGGUGCCAAGAAGUGGGUCCCCGCCUGUGGCUUCCUGUUUCUGGGUGAGGGAGAGGGGUGGAGCUUCUGUGUCCUUGUCUGCGCUCACUGGGCGUAGGAGGACGGAAACCUCAGUGUGCCCUUGUCUCUUGUCUCCAGCUGCCUGGGCCUCGGAGCAGCGCCGGGUGCUGAGUGGACACUGUCCACAGAGAGGCCUGGGUCCCAGGCCGGGUGCCACCGGACAUGUCACCCCCUCCCACACUCUACUCCGAGACCGAAUGUUUGGUCCACCAGGGCAGAUGAGGACACGGAGAAGACAGCCAUCUGUGAGCCAGGACACUGAAUCUGCCAGCGCCUUGAUCUUGGACUUCCCAGCCUCCAGAACUGGGAGGAAUAAAUUUCUGUCAUUUACAAGCA